AGAUCAGCUCGUGUGAUCGCUCUUCCGAAGACUUCUUCGGUUGGGAGGAAAGUCCGAGCACCACGGUAAACCGCAGCCGGUAACGCCGCGCCACUCGUCAAAACCAAUUGGCGAGUAGGGAAAGUGCCACAGAGACUAUACUAUUCCGAAACACACAGAGCUUGCUCUGUUAACAUCAUCGGGAGAAAGGUGAAAAGCCCCGCUUAGCGGGGAAUCCGAAAAUUGCAAAGGAACUUGCUGAAAAUUGCAUUCCACAAUAUUCGGAGUUGGUAAACCCUGCGGGGUGCAAGGUGGGAUGGAAAAGUUUGUUUUUAUUCCCAAAUGUAAGCAAAUUUUCCCACUGCAAAGCCAUUAACUUGGCAAAAGAUAGAUGGUCACUCCUCUUUUCGGAAUCUCUGAAAAGAGCAGACAAAACUCGGCUUAUAGAGUCUGAUCUAAGA
rnacentral:RNase_P_RNA from 1 species